rnacentral:rRNA from 1 species
UGGGGAAUUUUGCACAAUGGGGGCAACCCUGAUGCAGCGACGCCGCGUGAUUUAGAAGGCCUUCGGGUUGUAAAAAUCUUUUGUAUAGGAAGAAAAUGACAGUACUAUACGAAUAAGGUCCGGCUAAUUACGUGCCAGCAGCCGCGGUAAUACGUAAGGACCGAGCGUUGUCCGGAAUUAUUGGGCGUAAAGCGCGCGUAGGCGGUUUUUUAAGUCUGAUGUGAAAGCCCACGGCUCAACCGUGGAGGGUCAUUGGAAACUGGAAAACUUGAGUGCAGAAGAGGAAAGUGGAAUUCCAUGUGUAGCGGUGAAAUGCGCAGAGAUAUGGAGGAACACCAGUGGCGAAGGCGACUUUCUGGUCUGUAACUGACGCUGAUGUGCGAAAGCGUGGGGAUCAAACAGG